ensembl:lncRNA
GGAGGAUCGCUCUACUCACUGGGACGAGAAACAGACGUGCCCUCCACUCGGUCCAGGGGGGGGGAAUGUAAACAGCAGUAUUUUACAAGAUCGUGGUUUUCUCAAGACGUCCACGCAAUGAAGUCAAACACGUUGGUAAUAAUUCCAACAUCAAAUAUGGGGUAGAGACAUGUAUAAUAAGUUCUAAGGAUGAGGACUGUAGUCGCCAGAAUCACCUGGAUUCAAAUCCAGGUCACGGCCCUGCAGACGCUCUGCAACGCACGUUGUGAAGCAGCGGUCGGAGUGAGCAGAUGUGGUCGGAGUGCUGCCUUCUGCCGACUGCAAAGCCAGUACCACCUUCGAUAAAUCCCUUACACGACCGAUGCGGAUGACCUCGUCUCAAGACUCAUCGCCGAUUUCCUCCUCUGUGGAGAUGUUCACAGCCUAUUUUAUCCCCAGCUGCUCCACUAGCCCUGCUAUGGCCCUUCAGCUCCUUUUAAUAUGCAGCAUGGAACAAAUCGGCAAAGCACAAAUGCCUCUUUACGGGAUUCGACCGUCAGAUGGAGCCAGAAAGGAAUUCACGAGGGAGGAGCUGGGCUCGGACGUGCAGCCAAUCACAUACGACUGCAGCACAAGCGACACGCCCCCAAAUAUUAUGUAUUAUAUGACCAAUAUUGAUGGUCAUAUCAGACUGGACGAGGGGACUUCUCUAUUUUGCAAAAUAAUAUACAAUUCAUUCUUUACUUCACCUGCACCUUGUGUAUUGCUUACUACUUCUGUUAGUUAUUAAAUUCUUUAUCAUUUUUAAACUCGAGCCAGUUGACUUUUUAUGAUUCUCGUCUCAGAAGCGCCGAGGGGAACAGUAGUGAUCCUCCUUUAAAGUGUCAAAGCUAAGAAAAGCUGCAUACUGGAUACGUAAAGAAAUGCA